GUUUGAUCCUGGCUCAGAUUAAACGCUGGCGGCAUGCCUUACACAUGCAAGUCGAACGGCAGCACGGGGGCAACCCUGGUGGCGAGUGGCGGACGGGUGAGUAAAGCAUCGGAACGUAUCCUGGAGUGGGGGAUAACGUAGCGAAAGUUACGCUAAUACCGCAUAUUCUGUGAGCAGGAAAGCAGGGGAUCGCAAGACCUUGCGCUCUGGGAGCGGCCGAUGUCGGAUUAGCUAGUUGGUGGGGUAAAAGGCCUACCAAGGCGACGAUCCGUAGCGGGUCUGAGAGGAUGAUCCGCCACACUGGGACUGAGACACGGCCCAGACUCCUACGGGAGGCAGCAGUGGGGAAUUUUGGACAAUGGCGCAAGACCUCGAUCCAGCCAUGCCGCGUGAGUGAAGAAGG
rnacentral:rRNA from 1 species